rnacentral:misc_RNA from 1 species
GAUGAAGAACGCAACGAAAUGCGAUACGUAAUGUGAAUUGCAGAAUUCAGUGAAUCAUCGAGUCUUUGAACGCACAUUGCGCCCCCUGGUAUUCCGGGGGGCAUGCCUGUCCGAGCGUCAUUGCUGCCCUCAAGCACGGCUUGUGUGUUGGGCCUCCGUCCUCCUCCCGGGGGACGGGCCCGAAAGGCAGCGGCGGCACCGCGUCCGGUCCUCGAGCGUAUGGGGCUUCGUCACCCGCUCUUGUAGGCCCGGCCGGCGCUUGCCGACACAUCAAUCUUUUUUCCAGGUUGACCUCGGAUCAGGUAGGGAUACCCGCUGAACUUAAGCAUAUCAAUAAGCGGAGGA